rnacentral:rRNA from 1 species
AGUCGAGCGGACGAGCAUGGAUAAUAAUCGGGCAUAAGCAUAUUACCGAAGCUAUGGAUUUUACGAUAAGUAAAGUGGUAGGGGAGCAUUCUAACAGGGUUGAAGGUGUAUCGUGAGGUAUGCUGGACCGGUUAGAAAAGAAAAUGUAGGCAUAAGUAACGAUAAUGCGGGCGAGAAACCCGCACACCGAAAGACUAAGGUUUCCGCAGCUAUGCUAAUCAGCUGCGGGUUAGUCGGGACCUAAGGCGAACCCGA